rnacentral:rRNA from 1 species
GAUGAACGCUAGCUACAGGCUUAACACAUGCAAGUCGAGGGGCAGCAUAAUGGAUAGCAAUAUCUAUGGUGGCGACCGGCGCACGGGUGCGUAACGCGUAUGCAACCUACCUUUAACAGGGGGAUAACACUGAGAAAUUGGUACUAAUACCCCAUAAUAUCAUAGAAGGCAUCUUUUAUGGUUGAAAAUUCCGAUGGUUAGAGAUGGGCAUGCGUUGUAUUAGCUAGUUGGUGGGGUAACGGCUCACCAAGGCGACGAUACAUAGGGGGACUGAGAGGUUAACCCCCACACUGGUACUGAGACACGGACCAGACUCCUACGGGAGGCAGCAGUGAGGAAUAUUGGUCAAUGGACGCAAGUCUGAACCAGCCAUGCCGCGUGCAGGAUGACGGCUCGUAUGAGUUGUAAACUGCUUUUGUACUAGGGUAAACU